CACGUAGGGCGCAAGCGUUGUCCGGAAUUAUUGGGCGUAAAGAGCUCGUAGGCGGUCUGUUGCGUCCGCUGUGAAAACCCGGGGCUUAACCCCUGGCUUGCAGUGGGUACGGGCAGACUAGAGUGCGGUAGGGGAGACUGGAAUUCCUGGUGUAGCGGUGAAAUGCGCAGAUAUCAGGAGGAACACCGGUGGCGAAGGCGGAUCUCUGGGCCAUUACUGACGCUGAGGAGCGAAAGCGUGGGGAGCGAACAGG
rnacentral:rRNA from 1 species